AACGAACGCUGGCGGCGUGCCUAACACAUGCGAGUCGAACGAGAAAGGGGCUUCGGCUCUGAGUAAAGUGGCGCACGGGUGAGUAACACGUAGGUAACCUGCCUCUAAGAUUGGGAUAACCUGUCGAAAGACGAGCUAAUACCAAAUAAGACCACGGUCUCUUCGGAGAAAGGGGUCAAAGGUAGCCUCUAUUUAUAAGCUAUCGCUAAGAGAUGGGCCUGCGUACCAUUAGCUAGUUGGUGAGGUAAAGGCUCACCAAGGCAAAGAUGGUUAGCUGGUCUGAGAGGAUGAUCAGCCACACUGGAACUGAGACACGGUCCAGACUCCUACGGGAGGCAGCAGUGGGGAAUAUUGCGCAAUGGGCGAAAGCCUGACGCAGCAACGCCGCGUGAGUGAUGAAGGCCUUCGGGUCGUAAAGCUCUGUCGGAGGGAACGAAUGCUCUUGAGGUUAACAGCCUUAGGAAGUGACGGUACCCUCAAAGGAAGCACCGGCUAACUCUGUGCCAGCCGCCGCGGUAAUAC
rnacentral:rRNA from 1 species